AAUAUUGGACAAUGGGCGAAAGCCUGAUCCAGCCAUGCCGCGUGUGUGAAGAAGGUCUUCGGAUUGUAAAGCACUUUAAGUUGGGAGGAAGGGUUGUAGAUUAAUACUCUGCAAUUUUGACGUUACCAACAGAAUAAGCACCGGCUAACCUCGUGCCAGCAGCCGCGGUAAUUCGAAGGGUGCAAGGGUUAAUCGGAAUUACUGGGCGUAAAGCGCGCGUAGGUGGUGUGUUAAGUUGGAAGUGAAAGCCCCGGGCUCAACCUGGGAACUGCUUUCAAAACUGACGAGCUAGAGUACGGUAGAGGGUAGUGGAAUUUCCUGUGUAGCGGUGAAAUGCGUAGAUAUAGGAAGGAACAUCAGUGGCGAAGGCGACUACCUGGACUGAUACUGACACUGAGGUGCGAAAGCGUGGGGAGCAAACAGG
rnacentral:rRNA from 1 species